rnacentral:tRNA from 2 species
GGAGGGGUGCCAGAGUGGUCGAUUGGGACGGUCUUGAAAACCGUAGGUUCCGCAAGGUUCCCGUGGGUUCGAAUCCCACCCCCUCCG